AGUUUUAAGCAACAUGGCCAGAAAAGUUUGUGCAGUUCAAGUUCUGCAAACACUUUUGAGUGCUUGCGAGCCGAUUUCGCGCGGCCAACUGAUGUCGAUGUUCACAGCGGAUCCUGUGGAUGCAAGCGUAAGGAAGGAGUUGGACACAAUUCUGUCAACUUGCAAGGAAUUGGGGAUGGUGGUGGAAGUUGACGACUGCUUCUACAACUCCAAGGUGGCACAACUAAUUAUUGAGCAGUCGAGCUCAGAGGACGGCAGCUCAAUCCACAAUAAAGGAGAUACCGACUAAUGAUCCGUGACAUGGCUUCGCUCGUUUGACCAAAAAGCUUCAUCAAAUUGUUAUUCAAAUUUAAUAAAAUCGUAAGAUACUGACAA